rnacentral:rRNA from 1 species
UACGUAGGGGGCGAGCGUUGUCCGGAUUCAUUGGGCGUAAAGCGCGCGUAGGCGGCCCCGCAAGUCGGCCUGAAAUCUCCCAGCUCAACUGGGAGGGGUCGGGCGAGACUGCGGAGCUCGAGGUGGGCAGAGGGCAGUGGAAUUCCGGGUGUAGUGGUGGAAUGCGUAGAGAUCCGGAGGAACACCAGUGGCGAAGGCGGCUGCCUGGGCCUGGCCUGACGCUGAGGCGCGAAAGCGUGGGGAGCAAUCCGG